rnacentral:rRNA from 1 species
UGAGGAAUAUUGGGUCAAUGGACGAAAGUCUGAACCAGCCAUGCCGCGUGAAGGAAUAAGGCCCUAUGGGUCGUAAACUUCUUUUGUAUGUGAGCAAUAAGGUCCACGUGUGGACCGAUGAGAGUAGCAUACGAAUAAGCAUCGGCUAACUCCGUGCCAGCAGCCGCGGUAAUACGGAGGAUGCGAGCGUUAUCCGGAUUUAUUGGGUUUAAAGGGUGCGCAGGCGGCGCGCCAAGUCAGCGGUCAAAGUUCCGGGCUCAACCCGGUGUCGCCGUUGAAACUGGCGUGCUCGAGUGCGUGCGAGGAAGGCGGAAUGCGUUGUGUAGCGGUG